rnacentral:lncRNA from 1 species
CUGGAAGGGCAGUCCUCUCUCUAGGAUGCAAAUGGCUGAAGGGAAGAUGGCCAGGAUGAUCACGUGGGUUAUCCCCAGUGAUGGAGUGGGUACCACUUUAUGAGGGUCCGUGGGCAUCUUGGUAAGGAGCUUGAAUUAUAUUCUAAGUCAGGGGACAGGUCUGCUGUGGAAAUGAGACGAAUGCCUUUAUCCAUAGCCCCGUUGAUCCUGUAGAUUUAUCUCAGAUAUCUCUGCUGUGUUCACAAACGUUGUGGAGAAAGCAGAAUCAAUAAAGAACAGAAGGAAUAAAGAGAGAGCUGUUCAGACCAGGGAAUUACGGCGUUGUGAUUCACUUGGAAGACCGGCAUAAAAAUGCGCAGCGGAAUCUAUCAGUUGCAGUGCCAUCAAGGACGGCGGUGAAGGAGAGAAGGGGAUGGAUGGAGUGUGAGGUUUUCAUCUUAAACCUGAUGAAGGAAACUAAGAUGGGGACUGAGAAUGCUGUCCCCAAAUGGAUGAACCUGUUGACUAGCCGAUCAGUAAACUGUAAAUGCUGCUGUAAAAUAAAGAGUGUUUGGGCGAUAAAUCAGACAGGAAGAAUUCUCGGUUUCCCCGGGGAGCAUUUUUGAAGACUUUCUAGGAAAGUCCCAAUACAAAGGAACAACUCCGCUUCAAAGUGUCCCGUGAAAAGCUACAUCCCAGGAGAACCUGCCUUCCAAAAAGCUCACCCCUCCUCCCGCAGUGGUACCCACUGCCAGGCAGCCAGGACUGUUAAUACAUGCAGUGAUGGGCACAUCCUGAAUAUUCCUGAAGAUUCAUUGGAAGGACUGAUGCUGAAGCUUCAAUACUCUGGCCACCUGAUGCCAAGAGCUGACUCAUUGGAAGAGACUCUGAUGCUGAGAAAGAUUGCGAACAGGAGGAGAAGGGGAUGACAGAGGAUGAGAUGGUUGGAUGGCACCACUGACUUGAUGGACAUGAAUUUAAGCAAACUCCAGAAGAUAAUGAAGAACAGGGAAGCCUGGCGUGCUGCAGUCCAUGGGGUCACAAAACAGUCAGAUACAGCUGAGCAACUGAACAACUAAAUGAUUUUCAGAGGGAGUUAUUACGUGAAAUCUUAACUUGAAGAUGGUUUAAAUGACUCAGGGUGAAGCUGAAUUUCCCCAUCACUUUAAAAAUAUUUAUUGAAAUAAAUAAACCAUAUCACUGGGCCA